AGGCAUGGCGCAGCUACCAUGCAGUCGAGCGGUAACAGAGAGUAGCUUGCUACUCUGCUGACGAGCGGCGGACGGGUGAGUAAUGCUUGGGAAUGUACCUUAUGGUGGGGGACAACAGUUGGAAACGACUGCUAAUACCGCAUAAUGUCUUCGGACCAAAGCGGGGGACCUUCGGGCCUCGCGCCAUAAGAUCAGCCCAAGUGGGAUUAGCUAGUUGGUGAGGUAAUGGCUCACCAAGGCGACGAUCCCUAGCUGGUUUGAGAGGAUGAUCAGCCACACUGGGACUGAGACACGGCCCAGACUCCUACGGGAGGCAGCAGUGGGGAAUAUUGCACAAUGGGCGCAAGCCUGAUGCAGCCAUGCCGCGUGUGUGAAGAAGGCCUUCGGGUUGUAAAGCACUUUCAGUAAGGAGGAAAGGUUGGAUGUUAAUAGCAUUCAGCUGUGACGUUACUUACAGAAGAAGCACCGGCUAACUCCGUGCCAGCAGCCGCGGUAAUACGGAGGGUGCGAGCGUUAAUCGGAAUUACUGGGCGUAAAGCGUACGCAGGCGGUUUGUUAAGCGAGAUGUGAAAGCCCCGGGCUCAACCUGGGAACUGCAUUUCGAACUGGCAAACUAGAGUGUGAUAGAGGGUGGUAGAAUUUCAGGUGUAGCGGUGAAAUGCGUAGAGAUCUGAAGGAAUACCGAUGGCGAAGGCAGCCACCUGGGUCAACCCUGACGCUCAUGUACGAAAGCGUGGGGGAGCAAACAGGUUAGUCCCC
rnacentral:rRNA from 1 species